UACGUAGGGUGCAAGCGUUAAUCGGAAUUACUGGGCGUAAAGCGUGCGCAGGCGGCUUUGCAAGACAGGCGUGAAAUCCCCGGGCUCAACCUGGGAACUGCAUUUGUGACUGCAAGGCUAGAGUACGGCAGAGGGGGAUGGAAUUCCGCGUGUAGCAGUGAAAUGCGUAGAUAUGCGGAGGAACACCAAUGGCGAAGGCAAUCCCCUGGGCCUGUACUGACGCUCAUGCACGAAAGCGUGGGGAGCAAACAGG
rnacentral:rRNA from 1 species